rnacentral:tRNA from 1 species
GGUGGUGCUGCUUAGUGGCAAAGCCCUUGAUUCUCAUGCAUGAGGCCCUGGGUUCCAUCCUAAGUACCACCA